rnacentral:rRNA from 1 species
UACGGGGGGGGCAAGCGUUGUUCGGAAUUACUGGGCGUAAAGGGCUCGUAGGCGGCCAACUAAGUCAGACGUGAAAUCCCUCGGCUUAACCGGGGAACUGCGUCUGAUACUGGAUGGCUUGAAUCCGGGAGAGGGAUGCGGAAUUCCAGGUGUAGCGGUGAAAUGCGUAGAUAUCUGGAGGAACACCGGUGGCGAAGGCGGCAUCCUGGACCAACACUGACACUGAAAAGCGAAAGCCAGGGGAGCAAACGGG